rnacentral:rRNA from 1 species
CUUGCUGGGUGGAUUAGUGGCGAACGGGUGAGUAACACGUGAGUAACCUGCCCUUAACUCUGGGAUAAGCCUGGGAAACUGGGUCUAAUACCGGAUAGGAGCGUCCACCGCAUGGUGGGUGUUGGAAAGAUUUAUCGGUUUUGGAUGGACUCGCGGCCUAUCAGCUUGUUGGUGAGGUAAUGGCUCACCAAGGCGACGACGGGUAGCCGGCCUGAGAGGGUGACCGGCCACACUGGGACUGAGACACGGCCCAGACUCCUACGGGAGGCAGCAGUGGGGAAUAUUGCACAAUGGGCGCAAGCCUGAUGCAGCGACGCCGCGUGAGGGAUGACGGCCUUCGGGUUGUAAACCUCUUUCAGUAGGGAAGAAGCGAAAGUGACGGUACCUGCAGAAGAAGCACCGGCUAACUACGUGCCAGCAGCCGCGGUAAUACGUAGGGUGCGAGCGUUAUCCGGAAUUAUUGGGCGUAAAGAGCUCGUAGGCGGUUUGUCGCGUCUGUCGUGAAAGUCCGGGGCUUAACCCCGGAUCUGCGGUG